rnacentral:rRNA from 1 species
AUUGAACGCUGGCGGCAUGCUUUACACAUGCAAGUCGAACGGUAACAGGCCGCAAGGUGCUGACGAGUGGCGAACGGGUGAGUAAUGCAUCGGAACGUGCCCAGUCGUGGGGGAUAACUACUCGAAAGAGUAGCUAAUACCGAAUACGAUCUAUGGAUGAAAGCGGGGGACCGUAAGGCCUCGCGCGAUUGGAGCGGCCGAUGUCAGAUUAGGUAGUUGGUGGGGUAAGGGCUCACCAAGCCAACGAUCUGUAGCUGGUCUGAGAGGACGACCAGCCACACUGGGACUGAGACACGGCCCAGACUCCUACGGGAGGCAGCAGUGGGGAAUUUUGGACAAUGGGCGCAAGCCUGAUCCAGCAAUGCCGCGUGCAGGAAGAAGGCCUUCGGGUUGUAAACUGCUUUUGUACGGAACGAAACGGCUCUGGUUAAUACCCGGGGCUAAUGACGGUACCGUAAGAAUAAGCACCGGCUAACCACGUG